UACGAAGGGGGCUAGCGUUGCUCGGAAUGACUGGGCGUAAAGGGCGCGUAGGCGGAUGGUACAGUCAGAUGUGAAAUUCCUGGGCUCAACCUGGGGGCUGCAUUUGAUACGUGCUGUCUAGAGUGUGGAAGAGGGUUGUGGAAUUCCCAGUGUAGAGGUGAAAUUCGUAGAUAUUGGGAAGAACACCGGUGGCGAAGGCGGCAACCUGGUCCAUUACUGACGCUGAGGUGCGAAAGCGUGGGGAGCAAACAGG
rnacentral:rRNA from 1 species